GACGAACGCUGGCGGCGUGCCUAAUACAUGCAAGUCGAGCGGAGUUCAUCGGGAGCUUGCUUCGGAUGAACUUAGCGGCGGACGGGUGAGUAACACGUAGGCAACCUGCCCGUAAGACUGGGAUAACUACCGGAAACGGUAGCUAAUACCGGAUACGCAAGCUUCUCGCAUGAGGGGCUUGGGAAAGGCGGAGCAAUCUGUCACUUACGGAUGGGCCUGCGGCGCAUAGCUAGUAGGUAGGGUAACGGCCUACCUAGGCGACGAUGCGUAGCCGACCUGAGAGGGUGAACGGCCACACUGGGACUGAGACACGGCCCAGACUCCUACGGGAGGCAGCAGUAGGGAAUCUUCCGCAAUGGACGAAAGUCUGACGGAGCAACGCCGCGUGAGUGAU
rnacentral:rRNA from 1 species